GUCUACAGCCAUACCACCCUGAAUGCGCCCGAUCUUGUCUGAUCUCGGAAACUAAGCAGGGUCGGGCCUGGUUAGUACUUGGAUGGGAGAUCCACUUGGGGUCAUGAAGACUGGGAGU
rnacentral:rRNA from 1 species